ACAGUUCUUUUGCACACUGGCUUUUCACUGAGUGCAAAAUCCCAACUCAGCUUAGAAGAGCCUGUUUCCUCGCACAGGACCACAGAAGGCUGCAUGCAGAACACCAGAGUAUCUUGAAAGAAAACAACCCCAAGCUGGAAAGAAGCCCCGAAGACUGGAUUAUCCUGGUGUGAUUGGUUCAAGUCCCUGCUCACAGAGACUUAGAGACAAAUGCGGAUCGUGCGGGCCAAGGACCCUUCUUGGCUUCCGGGCUCUGAGUCUGGACACUCAGACCGUGGGAAGGAAGGGUAAAACUGUGUCCAGCAUUUUGCAAACGUUCGUUGUUACACACAAACACACACAAUGAAUAACAGGAAAGAGAAUACAGAAGAAUAAAAGAACUUCUAUUAAACUGUCAGCAAGAAUGGAAACCACAAAGGACAAUCUAUACUCCAUCAUUUAUAUUGACACUGAGAGGUACCAAGAAUAUCUUUAAAAGAGGGAAAAGAAAUGAAACAGUAUGGAGAAGAAUAUUAAUGGUUCGUAUUUCUGAUGUAUGUGUGUACUUUUCAAGUCAAUUUCAAAUCUAUUAUUUCAUGAUCAUUAGUGAAUAAUAUACACAAUUUUUUCCCCGUGCCCCAAAGGCUUCUGUCUGAGUUUGAGAUAUUGGAACUUAUAUUUUAAAAAUGUGUGACUGCUUUAACCAUGUGUUAAUGUAUGAAUGGAUGUGCCUAGUCUCAAUGGCCCAGGCAUAAGAUUAAGUGGCACUGUAGCAGAGACUCUGAAAUGAAAAACUGACAGUAUGAAAAUGUCACACUGACUUAGGUCAAUGACUCAUCCAAUUGAAAGAUAUUUUGUGGGGAGCACAGGUUAUGGAUAUAAAUGAAACAUUCCUAAUUUGCUUUGAUUCAGGUUUCUCUAAUGAAUUAUGAAUUUAAAAUUUAUAAACAUACCUCAACGCUUUUUGAAUAUAUUUAUAUUUUUGGCUUUUAUUGCCAUUCAAGGCUUACUUACUACCAGAACAUUCCUUCCUUUUUCUUUUACAAUUGCCUCUUUUGUGAAUCCUGAAGGACAAGGCACAUCAUGAUUUUAUAGAUUUUAACGGUAUCUUAGUUUAGUCUUUGUCUUCCCGGGCUGCAACAUUCUAAUU